AGUGAACGCUGGCGGUAGGCCUAACACAUGCAAGUCGAACGGCAGCACAGUAAGAGCUUGCUCUUACGGGUGGCGAGUGGCGGACGGGUGAGGAAUACAUCGGAAUCUACUUUUUCGUGGGGGGUAACGUAGGGAAACUUACGCUAAUACCGCAUACGACCUACGGGUGAAAGCAGGGGAUCUUCGGACCUUGCGCGAUUGAAUGAGCCGAUGUCGGAUUAGCUAGUUGGCGGGGUAAAGGCCCACCAAGGCGACGAUCCGUAGCUGGUCUGAGAGGAUGAUCAGCCACACUGGAACUGAGACACGGUCAAGACUCCUACGGGAGGCAGCAGUGGGGAAUAUUGGACAAUGGGCGCAAGCCUGAUCCAGCCAUACCGCGUGGGUGAAGAAGGCCUUCGGGUUGUAAAGCCCUUUUGUUGGGAAAGAAAAGCAGCAGGUUAAUACCCCGCUGUUCUGACGGUACCCAAAGAAUAAGCACCGGCUAACUUCGUG
rnacentral:rRNA from 1 species